CUAUAAUCCCUUUCAAUAACAUAGCCACAAUAGUACCUGUAAUGGGGUCCUUCCUCCCAAAGGUAGCAUCAAAUCCCAACAGUGCCAACCUGGUGCCAAAAAUUUAAUCACAAUAGACCCUUGGUGAACACAUCCACCAGACCACACAUAAACCAAAGUACUCAGCUAAUUUGGAUUCUUCUCCCUUUCUUUACAUGUGACUAGUGAGCUUUGAACAAUUAAUGCAUACUCCUUCAUCUGUGCUUUUGCAUUGGUUAAUAUUUAAAAAUUUGUCCCUCAAUUUUUAGUAUGACUCAGUUUCUAAUUUAUAUUACAUCUUGCCUCAAAUAUCAAUUUUUUCAAGAAGGAGUCUCCAAAUUCCUUGUAUAAAUAGCUCUAUAAAGUGCUGCAUAAGUACAUAGGUACUUACUCUGACUUACAUUAUUCAUAGCCCUUAUUUCCCUACUAGAAUAUACAGUAAGUUAUACAAUGAAUUUUGACUUCAUUGUAUUUCAACAAUGUUAAACUUUCAUGAUAAGUAUUUAAUAUAUGGUUAUUGAAUUAAUACAUGUUACAUGCUUCAUAUGCUUAAAAUAUACUUUCCAAUGAAGGAAUAAAAAAUUAUAAGUCAUAUAAAAGUAAUGUUUUUGAAAUUGGAAAAGAAGCCAGGGUAUAAUUAGUUCUAAUUUUACUGACUACAAAAUUUUGCAUAAAUUUCUCAAAUUUUGGAGGUGUAUCUUCAGUUUUAAAAAGGAAUUAAUGUAUUUUGUAUAAUGAUGACGAUGUGAAUUUGGUGUCAACAUACCUUAUAUACAAACAGAGAUAUGAUAAAUUGUGAUAUAAAAGUGUAUUAAAAUUGUAAUGCAAAAAAUAAUAAUAAUAAGAGAGCUCAUGUAUAAUGGCUUAAUUUGGCAUGAACAUACUUUAUAUACAGAGUUACGAAAAAUUGUGCUGUGAAUAGAUAUUUAUUAUUGUAAUGAAUUCCACUAUUGUCAUGUAUGUAAGAAAUUUAAAAAGAAAAAAGAAAUAGAAAAUAAUAAAAUAGCACACACACAAAAAAAGAAACUAAGGUUUUUAUUCAUACCCAGAUUGAACCUAGGGGCACUUAAACACUGAGUCAUGUCUCCAGGCCUUUUUUUAUAUUUUAUUGAAGACAGGAUCUCACUGAGCUGCUUAUGGCCUCCAAGAUUUAUUAGUGGUAAGUAUGGCAGAAAGUAAAUUAAUGUAACCAUACUAUAAACUGGAAAAUUGACUGACAAUUUUCUGUCUGUGCAUCUCCUUCUAAAUUGCAUGCCCUUAAAAAAGUCAGAUUGGAGUUCAGUCCUAACAUAGGUUAAAGUUUAUAGGUUUGAAGAAAAGAAAAUAAAUGAUAUGAAAUACAGAGAAUUUUAACAAUUUUCCCAAUGUGACACAACAAUUAAAUAAAGUUAAAAAAGUAUUAGAAAUCAUCUUAACUUAUGUAUUAAAAGUAUUUAAUUGAUUAUGUACUUAAAAUAUUAUAAUUGAUCUUAGUUUAAGUAUUAUUAAUCAUCUUAAUUUAUUAUGAAAUAAUGAAGUUAUGCUCCAAAGCUCAUCUCCGUAUAUUACACAGAUUAUUAACUCAUAGUUGUGCCAGUUAAUCAAAGACUUAGUAAGAAAGAAUCCCAAGUUAUGGCAGAUAUUUGCAGAGAAUUAUUUAAUUUCUUUUGUAAACAUUUCCUUAGAAAUAGAGUAAAUGCUCGUAAUGAUCAGCUGGCUGGAGGAUGGAGUGGUUACAGUUUGGCAAGAAAUUAAGGAAAUAUAACUGCAGCAAGGUGCCAAGGGAAAAGCUGAGAGGUAUUUUUGAAAUGUCUUUGUCACAUACCUGGACACAAGGACUGGUGGAGAAAGACACAUGACACCACAAAGUCCAAACAAGGAAAACUGAGGAAAUUAGAUGGACAUGGAUGAUUCUUAUCAGGGUGGGAUGAUACAGAAUAAAAAGGUAAACCCAGUUG
rnacentral:lncRNA from 1 species